rnacentral:tRNA from 1 species
GGAGAGGUGCCAGAGCGGUUGAAUGGGCUAGUCUCGAAAACUAGUUAAGGCUUCGGUCUUACGGGAGUUCGAAUCUCCCCCUCUCCG